GGCCCAGACGUGGUGAAACGUCCAGCCCACUGCCUAGAGAAAACUUAUCUUUAACAAAUCUAAAGAAGACUAGAAGAGUCUAGAGAAAGGCAGAUCCUCAAAACUCAAAACCAGCCAUUCUUCAGUUCUGCUUCUGCAGAAUCAAAACCCAACGCAGCACUCAGCAGCAGCGGGAAAAAAAAAAGAUGAGAUCGGAGGAAGCUUGGUCUAGGGCCGGCCCUGACAGUGGGAGUGGAGAGAGAAUGAGAGAGGCGAAGAGCAUGAGUUGAGAGAAAAAAGCAGAGCAAGAAUGAUAAAAAGAAAGGAACGAGCACUGGGGUGCCUAUCUUUAAGAUUUUGGUAUUUAAACUUCAAGGAACAUACACUGGGGUGUUUAUCUUCAAGAUUUUGGUAUAACUUCGAGGAACUUGCACUAGGGUGUUGAUCUUCAAGAUUUUUGUGUGUUUUGUCCUCCAUCUCCAACAAACUAUUUGGACUUUGGACUUGAAGUGUAGUCAGCAACAAAAAUGUCUAAUAUUAAAGCCAUGAAGAUUAGAUCAAGAAACAAGUGAAAAAGGGUUAUUCAUUAAAGCUGGAUAGAUAGCUCAACACCUGUAGACAGAUAGCUCGACAGCUUCUCGACACCUCUCGACAGCUAGACUAUCUAUCGAGCUCUUCAGUUGAUUGUUAUCGCAAUCUUGACACCUCUCGAUAGCUGGUGGAUUGAUCGAGAAAGCUCCUGUCUGCUUGACAGCUCCUCGAUAGCUUCUCGAUAGCUGUAUCUGUCGAAGUGUAAAGCUCGACACCUCCUUAACACCUCCCAAUCAAUCGAGGUUACGGGAAUUCAGAUUUCCAAAUCUGAUUUUCGGUCCAAGUUUUUGUAUUUGUGUAAGGUUUCUUUUCUCAUAACCCUAGACCUAUAUAAGGCUUAUUUUAGAGGCCGUCACAUAAAAGAAUACAAGAAGAACAUAUGAAAAAGAUGACUGAUACCUUAUUCUCUCUGAAAGAAGCUACUACGUCUUUUGUACCUUAGGGUUUUGUAACCAAGUGCUUCUUGAUCUUCAUUAUUGAUGAAGUGAAACUUUGCAGCCAACAUUAUUCUUCUUCAAGUUGGUGAGUGAGUCAUGUGCUGGGAUUCGUGUAAUUGGUUAGUCAUGUACUGGGAUUUGUGCAUCAAAAGGUGGCAUUCAUAUAUUAAAGAAUUCAGAGGUUCUGAAGCAGUAGAAGGUUUCUACUGUGAGUUCAUCUACGGAGAUUGUAGAGUCUAGGGACAAAGGUUUUGUACUAGAUCUGAAACUUUUCUUUACUAUAGUGAAUUGCUUUUCGGGAAGGUUUCCCCCCAGGUUUUUAACUGUGAAACUAGUUUAUUUCAUUGGUUUUUCUAGGUCA